UAUUCCUCACCAGUCCAGUAGUAUUCCCUUAUAUAUAUUCACACAAUUCAAUACACAUAUAUAUACACCAACAUAUGUAUAAGCGUCUUUUGACACACUUUAUACGAAUUCAGAAGUGAGACAUUAAUGGAAGAGCGGAAAUCCAGCGUUUUCUGAACUCUCUCCCUCAAUGGCUGCUCAUAUAUAUAUAGCCAUGCUUCUUAAUUAAUUAAAGAACAGCCAUGAGAGAUUGAGUUCAGAAAACUCUGGCUUUCCUUGUUUCAAUUAGCAAACUCGAGAAGGAAGCAUAUCAAUUGCGGUGUUCCCUGAUUGUACGGUGUCUUUUUGCACUUGACUAACUACACAAUUGAUUGGGAUCAGAUAACUUCAGUUCGCCGGGGCAGGCGUGUGACAACACUAGAGAGAAAAUCAUGUUCAUACUCAUGAUCAAUUGCUGAUAGAAUUUCACAAACGCAUAUAUAAAACAAUCAGAGGAUGCUGUGGUACGGAAGGCGAAGAUCAAAGAAAUUUCUCAAAUUACCUCGACAAAUUCUCAGCUAUAUAUACUACUGUAAGCUCCAAAGAGCGGCGUCUUACUUUGUAUUCGUACUUCUACCCUUUUUCCACACAA